rnacentral:tRNA from 1 species
UUCCUGAUAGCUAAAUGGUAAAGCAAGUAGCUGUUAACUACUCGAUUGUAGGUUCGAAUCCUGCUCAGGAAG